GCAACAUGCUUAUCGGGAUAACUGCUGGAAACGAAUACAAACAAAAAAAAAGAAAAGAAGAGGGUAAGGCGUAAUGUUUAGACGGAAUUGACGAAAAUACCCCCUUCACGUCGAUCGGAUCCAUGUCCAGAUCUGAAAGACGAGUAAGAGGAGGGAAGGACAGAGAGCAAGGAAGGCAUAAAAUAAGGGGGCAGUGUCCGAGACGACUCCUAGAUCCCUCUCUCUCUGGGGGCUGUUUCAGUUUCGGCUUCUUUUUCUUAAAGACGAACGGAUGCGUCUGGAUGUAAUCUUGUAGACGUAAACAUGGAGACAAGGAUAAUUACCA